rnacentral:rRNA from 1 species
AGUCGAGGGGUAUAGUUCUUCGGAAUUAGAGACCGGCGCACGGGUGCGUAACGCGUAUGCAAUCUACCUUUCACAGAGGGAUAGCCCAGAGAAAUUUGGAUUAAUACCUCAUAGUAUAGUGAUACCGCAUGGUACUACUAUUAAAGUCACAACGGUGAAAGAUGAGCAUGCGUCCCAUUAGCUAGUUGGUAAGGUAACGGCUUACCAAGGCUACGAUGGGUAGGGGUCCUGAGAGGGAGAUCCCCCACACUGGUACUGAGACACGGACCAGACUCCUACGGGAGGCAGCAGUGAGGAAUAUUGGACAAUGGGCGCAAGCCUGAUCCAGCCAUGCCGCGUGCAGGAUGACGGUCCUAUGGAUUGUAAACUGCUUUUGUACGGGAAGAAACACUCCUUCGUGAAGGAGCUUGACGGUACCGUAAGAAUAAGGAUCGGCUAACUCCGUGCCAGCAGCCGCGGUAAUACGGAGGAUCCAAGCGUUAUCCGGAAUCAUUGGGUUUAAAGGGUCCGUAGGCGGUUUAGUAAGUCAGUGGUGAAAGCCCAUCGCUCAACGGUGGAACGGCCAUUGAUACUGCUAGACUUGAAUUAUUAGGAAGUAACUAGAAUAUGUAGUGUAGCGGUGAAUGCUUAGAGAUUACAUGGAAUACCAAUUGCGAAGGCAGGUUACUACUAAUGGAUUGACGCUGAUGGACGAAAGCGUGGGUAGCGAACAGGAUUAGAUACCCUGGUAGUCCACGCCGUANACGAUGGAUACUAGCUGUUGGGAGCGAUCUCAGUGGCUAAAGCGAAGUGAUAAGUAUCCCACCUGGGGAGUA